GAGUAGCCCACCCACCAACCUACCUGUUAACAGAAAACAGAAAAUUGUGCUCAAAACUUCAAAACCUAUAAUAUAUUAGUUCGUGUUUGGUAUAAUGUAAUCAUUCAAUUGAACUUAUCCAAUUGUCUCAGUGACAAUACCAGCAAAAAUCACAAUAUCCUAAAUUUUUGGCACAAAAGCAUGAAAAUUCAAAUCUAACUCACUUCCAUGCUAAUCCAACAAGUUUCCACCGGCCGUAUCAAUUGAAUAGAGGUAAAUUAACAAGAAGCAAUCUUUUAUCAUACAUUGAAAAGGUGUUGGCCAUAGUUUACUGGUAAGUAUGCUGUGUAAGAAGUGCUGAUAUGCACUAGAAGCUCACAAAACCAGUCCUUAGUUAUUGAUUAAACAUAAAAACUCAGAAAAGUAGUGCCUCUGGAAAAGGGAGUUUAUAUGAGCUGUGGGGCCAAAGUGGAACCACAAAACUUUAAUCAAAUCAACAAAUCUCGCCUGAAUUGGGGUUCCUUAUUCACCUUAUGCUAUAUAUGUUACCAAUCUUUGCCUUUCUGCCUUACUGGCCAAGAAAGCAAAUCAAGAAUUUCACUAAAAACUUGAAAGUAGGUAACAAUUAAAUGGAGAAAUGAGAUUAUAGUGACUAGGGGCUAUUCUAAUUACCAAU
rnacentral:misc_RNA from 1 species